rnacentral:rRNA from 1 species
GAUGAACGCUGGCGGCGUGCCUAACACAUGCAAGUCGAACGAAGCUUGACGGAUGAUUUCUUCGGAAUGAAACCAGAUAUGACUUAGUGGCGGACGGGUGAGUAACACGUGAGCAACCUGCCUUUCAGAGGGGGAUAACGGCUGGAAACGGUCGCUAAUACCGCAUGAUGUGUUCGGAUGGCAUCAUCUGAACAUCAAAGAUUUAUCGCUGAAAGAUGGGCUCGCGUCUGAUUAGAUAGUUGGUGGGGUAACGGCCUACCAAGUCUACGAUCAGUAGCCGGACUGAGAGGUUGAACGGCCACAUUGGGACUGAGAUACGGCCCAGACUCCUACGGGAGGCGGCAGUGGGGAAUAUUGCACAAUGGGGGAAACCCUGAUGCAGCAACGCCGCGUGAAGGAUGACGGUUUUCGGAUUGUAAACUUCUUUUCUUAGUGACGAAGACAGUGACGGUAGCUAAGGAAUAAGCAUCGGCUAACUACGUG